AUGUGGGCCUGAGGUGAGAAGCUUUGCUGACUCUUGUCAGAGACAUCUCGGGAGCAGUGCCAGCUCAGACAGACCAGGCAAUCUCUGGUUGAAGCUAGAGCACUACCCUACAACGGGUGUGAGCUAGGUACAGCAAAGCCCUGUGGGAUGCCGGAAGAAUGCUAUCUGAUGCAAUAUCAAUGCACAGUGAAGGAUAAGGGGAGACAGAACUGUGGCAGCAGCAAUCUAAAUUUCCAGCAUCAUCACCUCUGCCCAGGACACAAAACAUGAAAAUUAUACUGCUGUUAGAAGUUAUAAAUAAGCACCUUUUAAGAUUUUCAGAAGUGGCUGUAAGAAAUAAAAACAUAAUGUGCUAAUGUGGCAACUCAGAAGAACAGCUUUCUUGCUGUCCUGGAAAAACUGGACAAGAAACAUUUUUCAAUUUCUGGAACAAAGGCUUCCUCUCUGGCCCUGAGGAAUGAUUGACAGAAGUAG